CGGGGCUGGAGGGUGCCGGGGGACUCCGCGGCCCGUGAGAUUUCGCACACCUCAGUUUGGACCAGGAACAUUCUAAAUGUUCAAGUGCUGCCUGCGGCCAGUGGCUACUGUGCAGGAUGGUGCGGCGCUCACAGAAUCAGGUGUUGGCCGGUUUCCCCGAGUGCCGUCCUCUGCCCAUGACAGCUCUGGGACUGAAGAAGAAGCUGGGAAGGGAGAGGUUGACAAAGAGAAAACAUGUCCAAAUCAACUUUAUAACAGUCUCAGUCCUCAUUUUAUAAAACACAACAUUUCCUUGACGCCACCAGCAGCAUCACUUCUGUCAGCCACUAGCCUCGUAAAAUGAACGAAUCCAUAAUCACCCCUCUACGGGAACGAGGUCGAUUUUAAUGACUAUCUAAUAAAGGAAU